CCAGACUCCUACGGGAGGCAGCAGUGAGGAAUAUUGGUCAAUGGCCGAGAGGCUGAACCAGCCAAGUCGCGUGAGGGAAGACGGCCCUACGGGUUGUAAACCUCUUUUGUCGGGGAGCAAAGCGAGUCACGUGUGACUCAUUGAGAGUACCCGAAGAAAAAGCAUCGGCUAACUCCGUGCCAGCAGCCGCGGUAAUACGGAGGAUGCGAGCGUUAUCCGGAUUUAUUGGGUUUAAAGGGUGCGUAGGCGGGACCUUAAGUCAGCGGUAAAAUUGCGGUGCUCAACGCCGUAGAGCCGUUGAAACUGGGGUUCUUGAGUGAGCGAGAAGUAUGCGGAAUGCGUGGUGUAGCGGUGAAAUGCAUAGAUAUCACGCAGAACUCCGAUUGCGAAGGCAGCAUACCGGCGCUCAACUGACGCUCAUGCACGAAAGCGUGGGUAUCGAACAGGAUUAGAUACCCUCGUA
rnacentral:rRNA from 1 species